rnacentral:ribozyme from 1 species
UAUUUUUUUAUCUUUAUACUUUCCCCUACUACUCGUAACAUUCAUAUCUUCAGAUAGCUGUUGAGGGUUGGAAGGGUUGAUUUCGGAAUCGAUUAGAUAUACACCACGUGGAAGAGAAUUAGGUGCGUUAGUAGAGCUCAUGAAAAUCCAAAUAAAAAGAGCAAAAAUAGCCUCAAUCUUC